rnacentral:sRNA from 1 species
UUUUUAUUUUAUGUUUUGUUCAUUUGCAAUCACAGAGAUUCUGUGCCCUCAAUAAUUUUGUAUCUUCCUUGCUGGUUUCCUGUAUCGUACAAAUCCCAAGGCUUCUAUUUUUUUUUGACAAAGAUCCGUUGAAGCAGAUUACUACAGUGUAGCCAUUGGUGCCCUGUUUUCAAAUGUCAUUGAUUUCUGACAUUACUAGUCCACCUCAAAAAGCUUG